AGUGAACGCUGGCGGUAGGCCUAACACAUGCAAGUCGAACGGCAGCACAGUAAGAGCUUGCUCUUACGGGUGGCGAGUGGCGGACGGGUGAGGAAUACAUCGGAAUCUACUUUUUCGUGGGGGAUAACGUAGGGAAACUUACGCUAAUACCGCAUACGACCUACGGGUGAAAGCAGGGGAUCUUCGGACCUUGCGCGAUUGAAUGAGCCGAUGUCGGAUUAGCUAGUUGGCGGGGUAAAGGCCCACCAAGGCGACGAUCCGUAGCUGGUCUGAGAGGAUGAUCAGCCACACUGGAACUGGGACACGGUCCCGACUCCUACGGGAGGCAGCAGUGGGGAAUAUUUGACAAUGGGCGCAAGCCUGAUCCAGCCAUACCGCGUGGGUGAAGAAGGCCUUCGGGUUGUAAAGCCCUUUUGUUGGGAAAGAAAAGCAGCAGGUUAAUACCCCGCUGUUCUGACGGUACCCAAAGAAUAAGCACCGGCUAACUUCGUG
rnacentral:rRNA from 1 species